UAGAGUAAUGCGUGACCAACCUGCCCCAUGCUCCAGAAUAGCUCUUGGAAACGGGUGGUAAUGCUGGAUGCUCCAACUUGACGCAUGUCUUGUUGGGAAAGUGUUUAGUGGCAUGGGAUGGGGUCGCGUCCUAUCAGCUUGUAGGCGGGGUAAUGGCCCACCUAGGCUUCGACGGGUAGCCGGCCUGAGAGGGCGGACGGCCACAUUGGGACUGAGAUACGGCCCAGACUCCUACGGGAGGCAGCAGAG
rnacentral:rRNA from 1 species